rnacentral:rRNA from 1 species
UACAGAGGGUGCGAGCGUUAAUCGGAAUUACUGGGCGUAAAGCGCACGUAGGUGGCUUUGCAAGUCGAUUGUGAAAUCCCCGGGCUUAACCUGGGAACUGCAGUCGAGACUGCUCUGCUUGAGUAUGGGAGAGGGAGGUGGAAUUUCCGGUGUAGCGGUGAAAUGCGUAGAUAUCGGAAGGAACAUCAGUGGCGAAGGCGACCUCCUGGACCAAUACUGACACUCAAGUGCGAAAGCGCGGGGAGCAAACAGG